UUCUUAAUGAAAUAAUAUUAAGUAACUCCUGCUCAAUGAAUUUAAAUAGCCGCAAUUUUAUGUGCUAAGGUAGCAUAAUCAUUAGCCUUCUAAUUAAAGGAUAGAAUGAAUGGAAAUUCGCGCCUGUCUUUGUCUCCUAAUAAAUAGAUCAAAUUAAUACUAAUGUAAAAAAGCAUUAAUUAAAUAGCAAGACGACAAGACCCUAAUGAAUUUAACAAAGUUUUACUGGGGCGGUAGAUUAAAUAAACCUUAUAACCCUACUAUAACAAAAAGACCUUAAAAUUUAAAUUUUAUGAACAAAUUACCAUAGGGAUAACAGUGUAAUCCAUUUUAAGAGCUCUUAUCCUAAAAUGACAUUGCAACCUCGAUGUUGAAUAAUAACCUAGCAAAAGCAAAAGUUUUCUAAGGACGUCUGUUCGACCUUUAAAUAAUUACA
rnacentral:rRNA from 1 species